rnacentral:rRNA from 1 species
GACGAACGCUGGCGGCGUGCCUAAUACAUGCAAGUAGGACGCAGUUGCGAACGGGUGAGUAACGCGUAGGUCACUGACUAUUAGAGGGGAAUAACUAUUGGCAACGAUAGCUAAUACCGCAUACUCGUAGAUGGACCUGCGUUGUAUUAGGUAGUAGGUUGGGUAAUGGCCUACCUAGGCAACGAUACAUAGCCGACCGGAGAGGAUGAUCGGCCACACUGGGAAUGAGACACGGCCCAGACUCCUACGGGAGGCAGCAGUAGGGAAUCUUCGGCAAUGGGGGGAAACCUGACCGAGCAACGCCGCGGGAGUGAAGAAGGUUUUCGGAUCGUAAAGCUCUGUUGUUAAGGAAGCGGUACUUAACCAGAAAGGGACGGCUAACUACGUGCCAGCAGCCGCGGUAAUAC